AGUGAACGCUGGCGGCAUGCCUAACACAUGCAAGUCGAACGGCAGCACAGCAGUAGCAAUACUGUGGGUGGCGAGUGGCGGACGGGUGAGGAACACAUCGGAAUUUGCCCAGUCGUGGGGGAUAACGUAGCGAAAGUUACGCUAAUACCGCAUACGAUCUACGGAUGAAAGCGGGGGAUCGCAAGACCUCGCGCGAAUGGAGCGGCCGAUAUCAGAUUAGGUAGUUGGUGGGGUAAAGGCUCACCAAGCCAACGAUCUGUAGCUGGUCUGAGAGGACGACCAGCCACACUGGAACUGAGACACGGUCCAGACUCCUACGGAGGCAGCAGUGGGGAAUUUUGGACAAUGGGCGCAAGCCUGAUCCAGCAACGCCGCGUGAGGGAGAAGGCUUUCGGGUUGUAAACCUCUGUCCUUGGUGACGAAAAAUGACGUAGCCAAGGAGGAAGCCCGGCUAACUACGUGCCAGCAGCCGCGGUAAACGUAGCGU
rnacentral:rRNA from 1 species